UACGUAGGGGGCAAGCGUUGUCCGGAUUUAUUGGGCGUAAAGAGCGUGUAGGCGGCCAGGUAGGUCCGUUGUGAAAACUCGAGGCUCAACCUCGAGACGCCGAUGGAAACCAUCUGGCUAGAGUCCGGAAGAGGAGAGUGGAAUUCCCGGUGUAGCGGUGAAAUGCGCAGAUAUCUGGAGGAACACCCGUAGCGAAGGCGGCACUCUGGGCCGAUACUGACGCUGAGGAGCGAAAGCGUGGGGAGCAACAG
rnacentral:rRNA from 1 species